rfam:Salmo salar isolate Sally breed double haploid chromosome ssa12, whole genome shotgun sequence.
CUUGUAGCUCAGUUGGUAGAGCAUUGUGCUUGCAAUGCCAGGAUUGUGGGUUUGAUUCUCACCGGG